AGUGAACGCUGGCGGUAGGCCUAACACAUGCAAGUCGAACGGCAGCACAGUAAGAGCUUGCUCUUACGGGUGGCGAGUGGCGGACGGGUGAGGAAUACAUCGGAAUCUACUUUUUCGUGGGGGAUAACGUAGGGAAACUUACGCUAAUACCGCAUACGACCUACGGGUGAAAGCAGGGGAUCUUCGGACCUUGCGCGAUUGAAUGAGCCGAUGUCGGAUUAGCUAGUUGGCGGGGUAAAGGCCCACCCAGGCGACGAUCCGUAGCUGGUCUGAGAGGGUGAUCAGCCACACUGGAACUGAGACACGGUCCAGACUCCGACGGGAGGCAGCAGUGGGGAAUAUUGGACAAUGGGCGCAAGCCUGAUCCAGCCAUACCGCGUGGGUGAAGAAGGCCUUCGGGUUGUAAAGCCCUUUUGUUGGGAAAGAAAAGCAGCAGGUUAAUACCCCGCUGUUCUGACGGUACCCAAAGAAUAAGCACCGGCUAACUUCGUG
rnacentral:rRNA from 1 species